rnacentral:rRNA from 1 species
CUACGGGCCGCACCAGUGGGGAAUAUUGCACAAUGGGCGCAAGCCUGAUGCAGCCAUGCCGCGUGUAUGAAGAAGGCCUUCGGGUUGUAAAGUACUUUCAGCGGGGAGGAAGGGAGUAAAGUUAAUACCUUUGCUCAUUGACGUUACCCGCAGAAGAAGCACCGGCUAACUCCGUGCCAGCAGCCGCGGUAAUACGGAGGGUGCAAGCGUUAAUCGGAAUUACUGGGCGUAAAGCGCACGCAGGCGGUUUGUUAAGUCAGAUGUGAAAUCCCCGGGCUCAACCUGGGAACUGCAUCUGAUACUGGCAAGCUUGAGUCUCGUAGAGGGGGGUAGAAUUCCAGGUGUAGCGGUGAAAUGCGUAGAGAUCUGGAGGAAUACCGGCGGCGAAGGCGGCCCCCUGGACGAAGACUGACGCUCAGGUGCGAAAGCGUGGGGAGCAAACAGGAUUAGAUACCCUCGUAGUC